UGGGAAUUUUGGACAAUGGGCGCAAGCCUGAUCCAGCCAUGCCGCGUGCGGGAAGAGGGCCUUCGGGUUGUAAACCGCUUUUGUCAGGGAAGAAAUCUUCUGAGUUAAUACCUCGGGAGGAUGACGGUACCUGAAGAAUAAGCACCGGCUAACUACGUGCCAGCAGCCGCGGUAAUACGUAGGGUGCAAGCGUUAAUCGGAAUUACUGGGCGUAAAGCGUGCGCAGGCGGUUUUGUAAGACAGAGGUGAAAUCCCCGGGCUCAACCUGGGAACUGCCUUUGCGACUGCAAGGCUUGAGUGCGGCAGAGGGGGAUGGAAUUCCGCGUGUAGCAGUGAAAUGCGUAGAUAUGCGGAGGAACACCGAUGGCGAAGGCAAUCCCCUGGGCCUGCACUGACGCUCAUGCACGAAAGCGUGGGGAGCAAACAGGAUUAGAUACCCUGGUAGUCCACGCCCUAGACGAUGUCAACUGGUUGUUGGGAAGGUUCCUUCUCAGUAACGUAGCUAACGCGUGAAGUUGACCGCCUGGGGAGUACGGCCGCAAGGUUGAAAGCUCAAA
rnacentral:rRNA from 1 species